ensembl:lncRNA
GGUAGACAUGGAACAUUUAAGCUCCUUAUGGAUCUCAGCCUGGACUGUCAUUCAACCUUGAGAGAGCAUUGCUUCCUCAGCACUUGGCCUUUUGGAGAAAAAUAACACAGGCUGCAGAAGACCAGGCCAAUUAGAUGGAGCAGAGGUGAAACUCAACAGGAUAUUUCUACACCUCCAGGCGUACAUGAAUGAUUAUGGCUCUUUUGAGCCAGUGCACAUGACUCCCAAACUUUGAUCUGCUGCUGUCAAGACUGGAUCCUGGCCUCUCUGCUUGGGAAUUCCUAGGUGAAUUAGGAGCUGCAGAGCACGUUUGCAGUGAACACCAACUCACAAAGCCUCUAGUGGGCUUUUCAUGUCUCUUCAUUUUUACUCUCUUCUUCCUCACCCAUAAUGGCACCAUAAAGUGGUGGCCUAAAUUCUACUGGCUACCAGACUGUGCCAAGCUUUUGAUUAUUUCUGGCAGAAAAACAUCAGUGAUCACAGGUUGGUGAGGUGCAUCAUCUGCAUAACAAGAUCAGACCAAUUUACCAGCACUAACAGUGAAUUCAAAAAUUUGAGUACCUACCACAUGACAAAGAAGCGAAGACUAUAAAGU